CAGUUCCUUAUUCAUGGGUGAAUCGUUUUUCUCCCCUUUUGCCCUCCCCGGCCGGGCAUCGCAACGUGCGCCGGCGGCGGUGGGGUAGGCCCACUGGGCCAAAGGGUUGUGAAGCGUGCGUGCGCAGCGUUGCGCGCCUAGCGGGGCGAGUUGUCUAGUCAAAGGUUGUCGAACAAAAUAAAGAAAGAUUUAAAAUGAAAGGGAAAAUUUGCACGACCUGGGUGGGACAUUAGUUGUAUAUUAGAGGGGAGGGGAACUAAAAUUCCUACCCCACCCCCCGCAUCAAAGGCACUUGACUGUGCAUCGUGAAAUGUAUAUUAGUGCAUCGUGAAAGGAUUAGUUCGCUUUGUGUUUCUCUGGCAUGUGAAAGGAUUAGGUCUUCUGUUGCCGGCCAGCCUUUAGCUAGGGAAGGCGGGGGCGGGGCGGAAUAGCGCGGGGACCUCCUAAGGUUGCCCUCGCCGCCGCAACUCUCCGUGCGGGGGCUGGAAGGGGCGUUGGCGGCCGGCGGCGAAGGCCUUCCCCUCUGCUACGGCGACGCCGCCGGCUCCUGCUCCGCGCCGCGGGCAAGUGCCGGGAGUCGGUCUAGGUGCCGCUGGAGCGGCGCGCAGGCGGUCCUCGUCCAUUAUCGUAGAGGUGAGCAGUGUGUGGGGGGGGGGNNNNNNNNNNGGCCGCUCCUGCGUACCGGGCGGCGUUCAAGGCCGACAGGCUGUACUAUGGGUUGCGGACCAAGAUGUUCGAGGCGCUGUACCCGCGGGUGCCUGCGCCGCCGCAGCCCCACGUAGUAGCCAGGAGCAGCCGAGCCAGGAUGGUCGUCGGCGGCAGCCGAGCCCCAGCAGACGAGCCACCUCGCACCUCCGGCACGUCGCCGGCGGCAGCAACCUCGGCGGCCAGUGCGGCUGCUUCCUCAGCGGGGCACGGGGCGAGGGAACGUCCCGCAGUAUGAUGAUGAGGUGGUCUCUGUCCCUCCAGGGCCGCGGCGGCCGAGGCUUCGGCGGCUCCGAGUUCCUGCGCGUUAGCGGCUGCUCCUCGAGGUCCUCCGCCGUGUUCCACCCGGUGCACGGACUUCUUUCUCCUGGACCCAGUGGAGGGCGGGCGUCCUUCCUCGGGCACCAGCCGCGAUCCGUCGAGACCACUAGCGUAGUUGCCACUAUCGGACCGCACCACACGUAUGGAGUCGACGCUCUAUGAGCUCCUGCCGCCGCUCCAUCUGCCCCCGCGGCCUCGGCUGCGUGACCCGCAUCGCCGCUCCCUCGCGGGCUACGUCGGCAGCCCCUUGACGUCGGGCCGGCUCUCUCUCUCCUACCCACACACACACCUCCCCUCGUGCACCCACCCGGUCCCUACCUUUCCCUGCUCUCUCCUCUCUCUGCGACCGUCCACCCAGUCGCGGACGUUUUGCCGCUUAAUUCGGGGGGUCCACGGGGGGGGGGUCGAGGGACCCAAACGGAACCCCAGCGGCCGAGUAAAAAACCGGUCUAGGCCGCGAUUAACUCCAGCACCCCCGCGCUCACCCUGAAAAAAGUAGGCGGCCGCCAAUUUUUCACGAGGACCCCCGGAAGGACCCCCCUGCCCACCUCUACGAGAUUCAACUGAUCUAGAGCGCCGGGGCCGGCAGAGCAGGGGCAGGGAUCCCAAGGCUACGCGCGCUGACUGUAGGACUAUAAAAUUAAGAAAACGCCCUCGCUGAUUGUACAUGUAGGGCAAACCUAGCCACGUCCUCUCCGGCAUGUACUACGACGCCUACUUGCUUCGGCCGCCGCCGCUCCCGUCGCUAAUGCCCUCGAGCCUCCGGCCCUCGAUGCUCAUGCUCCUCGUCGACCCCGUGGUGGAGGCGGAGGCGGUGGUCCUCGUGGGCCCACCGCAGCUACCACGACGACACUAUAGCUCCGACUCCCACUCCUGUUCACGAUCCUAACCUGCUCGAGAGACUCCUCUCAACUCAUGCUCCUCCUCCCCAAGCUACUACUACUCCUACACCUCCUACACCUCGGUCUCGAUCUGUGACGUCUCAUGCUCCUACUGCUCCGAAUGCGCGCUCACGAAGUCAUGCGGUUCCUCGCGCUCCCGCCCGUCACUCGUACAGCUCCUAGUUUAUUUACUGCACGUCCUAAGUACCGUUCUCCAACUAGGUCUACUCAUGAGUAUACUCCUUAAUCAACGUAACCCGCCUCACCAACCAUGUCUUUCUUCUCCAGAGAGACGACUAUGUGAACGAAGGAAUGGAAGUCAUUGAAUGUUGUGUUUUCUGUACGUUCUGCCGUUGUGUCUUGUUACACAUUAAACAGCGCACCCUAAACUCCUUCCACUUAGGAACCAACGUGAAGGGACGUUCGUGAGUAUGGUGGGACUGACGUAAUUGGUCAGUGUAUUUAUUCCAUACGCGUUACACAUCGCACCUUCAAAGAUGGAGUUGUUUGUUCUCCAUACGCGUUACACAUUGCGCCUUCAAAGACGGAGUUGUUUGUUCGUCCGUACUGGUUAUCAACCGUGAAGUUCAAUAUGGCUCCUUUUUCUUCAACCGUCAACCCUCAUACAUCAUCGCCGUAGUAAUAUAAUAGGGACUACAAAUUUGGUCUCGUCGUUUUUGAACAUGUUUGAACGCUUCCCUGUUUGAACAUGUUUAAUAGAGUACGAAAUCAGAAGUCAGUGUCUCUAUAUGACCCUUUAUAAACUGAUAAUCAAUAAGAAACCUUUCAAAGUACUAAUAAGUAAUUACGUGUCUCUAUAUGACCCUUUAUAAACUAACUAUAGAUAUAUAUACAUAAUCUUACGCUUAUUAACCAUCUUUUAAUUACAACCGGACAUAUAAACCGACGUUUAUUUGUGAUUAAUUAAAAA
rnacentral:rRNA from 1 species